CGAACGAGGGUGGUGUGCUUAACACAUGCAAGUCGAACGGUGAAGCGCCUUCCUUUUUGGUGGGUGUGGAUGAGUGGCGAACGGGUGAGUAACACGUGAGUAACCUGCCCCCUUCUUCUGGAUAACCGCAUGAAAGUGUGGCUAAUACGGGAUAUUCUGGGUCUGUCGCAUGAUGGGUCUGGGAAAGAUAUUGUUUCGGUGGGGGAUGGGCUCGCGGCCUAUCAGCUUGUUGGUGGGGUGAUGGCCUACCAAGGCGGUGACGGGUAGCCGGCCUGAGAGGGUGGACGGUCACACUGGGACUGAGACACGGCCCAGACUCCUACGGGAGGCAGCAGUGGGGAAUAUUGCACAAUGGGCGCAAGCCUGAUGCAGCGACGCCGCGUGAGGGAUGGAGGCCUUCGGGUUGUGAACCUCUUUCGCCAGUGAAGCAGGCCUGCCUCGUUUGUGGGUGGGUUGACGGUAGCUGGAUAAGAAGCGCCGGCUAACUACGUG
rnacentral:rRNA from 1 species